GUUAAACGUAUCAGUAAAAUGGCAGCAACCAUGUACUGGGUUUUGGUUUUGGCGCUAGCUGUUGUAGUAGCAUCCGCACCUUCUCCUGAUUUUGUACCCCUAGUUUCAACCAAAAACAAGCCUUUUAACGAAGACGAUCUAAAAAACGUACAUUUUUUUGAAUUUAAUGACGAAGACCUUGACGAAUUUUACGAUUCACUGGAAGAACGUGAAAUAGCCGAUCCACUUAAUAACGUUGGAAAAACAAUCGAAGGAAUGUGGAUGGGUUUAAACAACAUGUUUGGCUAACCUUAUAUAUUAACCUAAGUUAUUGGGCUAGGGGCUUAUCAUAGCAUGCAAUAUAAUAUGACUUUUUCAAAUAAAGCAUCUUUAAAUAACUUGUUAAUUGAAAAUAGAAAUGAGGUGACCCUGUUUUAAAAUUUUAUAUAUGGAAAACUUUAGCCUAUAUAUAUUUAUACGCAUUUAAUUUCAUCUAGAGCAGCAGCAAAAGUAUGGUAUCUUCGAAGCAAUUUUUAAUUACAUUUCCCAAAAUAUUUACGGAAAAACUAACAUGAAAUUGUAUUAAUUACAUUAGGUUAAAAUAUAUUUGUUAUUUACAUGAUGUUGACAUGAUCAAGGUUUGUUUUAAUUUAUUAAAUCAAAUAUACAAAACUCAGUGUCUUUGAA